rnacentral:rRNA from 1 species
AUACGGAGGGUGCAAGCGUUGUUCGGAAUUACUGGGCGUAAAGCGCACGUAGGCGGCUUUGUAAGUCAGAGGUGAAAGCCUGGAGCUCAACUCCAGAACUGCCUUUGAGACUGCAUCGCUUGAAUCCAGGAGAGGUCAGUGGAAUUCCGAGUGUAGAGGUGAAAUUCGUAGAUAUUCGGAAGAACACCAGUGGCGAAGGCGGCUGACUGGACUGGUAUUGACGCUGAGGUGCGAAAGCGUGGGGAGCAAACAGGAUUAGAUACCCCGGUAGUCC